AGAGGGUAACUGUUAAGAGGGUAACUGUUAAGUAGAGAGUAACUGCCGGGUACUGGUUUAGAAUCCUGGGUUUAGAGCCUAUUGCUAGAUCUGCUAGGGAUAUGAUUUAGGGCAAAUCGCUUGAGCUCUUUGGGCCUCUCUCUUCUUACGUCUGUAAAAUAGGGGUGAUAUUGUUUUACUUACAUUUGUGAAGUUUCAAUGAGAUUUGUUCUUGUUUUUAUGUUAAUCCCUAGUACGGGACCUGCUCUGAACACCUCUCCUCCUUGGGCUUGUGUUUCCUGAGGAGGUGGAGUUAGAGAGUAUCAUAGGUUUCUGUUAGCUCUGAGAGUCCAAGAUUUCAAGGCCAACGAGAGUGGAAACCUUGGGGCCAAGGGCUCCUGUCUGCCUUUUCCGUCCCGUAUCCCCACUGUGAAGAACUGUAGCUGGCCCGAAAACAAGCCAAACCACCACCAUCAGGCAGCGCUCAGGAGGCAGGUAGAGGCUCAGGCUCACACCAUUGGUGCCCUGGAGAGAGCCCUAUACUUCAGCAAGAAUGCAGCCAGGCAGCUAGAAGGAGACUGCAGAUACCUCUCCGGCUGCCUGCAACAUGCCUCCCAACACGUGGAGGACUUGACGCAGGCUCCGUCCGAUGUCUCCACACAGGAAAAGGUGGUGGACACGGUGAGUCCAACAACCUACCCCAUCCCCUGGCAAUCGGCUUCCCAGAUGGAGGAGUGAGUCUAAAGGUCCCUUCUGCAGGAUGGAGCGUCCUUACCAGAAGGCAGCAUGGGCCAUUUCUUUGUGCUUUUGUGUGUGGUUGUUAGAGGCAGGCUGGGGCUGAGUCAGCUGCUGUGGGUGAGUUGGGGGUGCUGUAGGGGGUGAGCACAGGACACAGAGCUCGGAGGCCAAGUGCCCGCCCUGCCCUUACCUGGCUGUGGCCUUGGCCAAAUCCUAGGUAGGGGUUAGGGUAUUUGUACCAUGAAGGCAUGGAAGAGUACCUUUAGUAUGUUACCGUUUGUGUAGAGAGAGGGAACAUGUGUUUUUGUGUGUGUGUGUGUAUUUGUGUGUGUGUAUUAUGGGAAUAUACAUAAAACAUGUAAGGAUUCAUUAAAAACUCAGGAGAGAGGAACAGUGUGAGUGGGAGAUAUUUCCCUCUUGUAUCUUGAGUUUUGGACUAUGUGAACCUAUCGUCCUUUCAAAAAGUCAACAAAAGAUUAAUUUCCUCCUUCUUAUCUGUGCCCCCACCGCCAG